rnacentral:rRNA from 1 species
GUCUAUGGCCAUGCCACCCUGAACGAGUCCGAUCUUGUCCGAUCUCAGAAGCUAAGCAGGUUUGAGCCUGAUUAGUACUUGGAUGGGAGACCACCUAGGAAGACCAGGUGCUAUAGGCG